AUUCUGUUGAGGUUCUUGGAUGCAAGAGCUUGGACAUUCUCAACUGGUAAAGAAUAUAACAUAUCUGUGCUCUGCACUUUUGUUUCCAUUGCUGUAAAGCUGUCUCAAGUUAAACACUACCCUCAAAUUAUGGUGUUAAUGCGCUAGAUACAACAAUCCUGUUAUUUCAAACAUUGGAAACAAGUUGCAAAAGAAGAGAUUUAACAUGGACGAAGAGCUAGUAAAGCCAAUAAGAUUUUUAACUAGAGCUUCAUUUGAUUCAACAUCCCUGGACCUUUCCCGCUAAGCCUCAGUAUCAGGAACUCCUCAAGUGACAUAGUCUUGUACUGUGCUUUCUUUGUCUUAACAAGGUGAUGAACUUUGGCCUGUAAUGCAACAACAGACCAACAUUGAAGCUGAACCAGUGCAGCAACAACAUUUUGUCCAUAUGUAACUUGACUUAGUUCUUUUGUAAUUUGUAUUUAAAGUUGGUAGGAUUAGUUGUUGAUUUGUGUUUGAUGUAAUAGUUGAUAUGUAAGCUACAUUUUGUGUGUAAUUCAAGCUUUGUUUUAGUCAA